CCGAGUUGGGUAGCGCCAACUUGUGACCCAAGUGGGGGCUUUAAGGUGAUGGAACAAGUGCUGUGGUUAGCUGGGUUGGGCCUGAAGUUGCUCUUUGCUGGCCUGCCCACUCCAAGUUGAGAGUUGAGCCUGGUGGUCUGGGCGAAGGCUCGGGCUUCUUGGUUCCUAAAUUGGAGGGCAAUGCGUGAGGCUGGUUUCACAGAGCGACGAACACUUCCUGCUUCCAAUAGUGGAGGGAUAACAGGCCGUUGCAUCUGCAGCCCACGAUAGCCCGGUGGGCCUAGUUACUUGAACCAUCACUUUU